rnacentral:rRNA from 1 species
AGUGAACGCUGGCGGUAGGCCUAACACAUGCAAGUCGAACGGCAGCACAGUAAGAGCUUGCUCUUACGGGUGGCGAGUGGCGGACGGGUGAGGAAUACAUCGGAAUCUACUUUUUCGUGGGGGAUAACGUAGGGAAACUUACGCUAAUACCGCAUACGACCUACGGGUGAAAGCAGGGGAUCUUCGGACCUUGCGCGAUUGAAUGAGCCGAUGUCGGAUUAGCUAGUUGGCGGGGUAAAGGCCCACCAAGGCGACGAUCCGUAGCUGGUCUGAGAGGAUGAUCAGCCACACUGGAACUGGGACACGGUCCAGACUCCUACGGGAGGCACCAGUGGGGAAUAUUGGACAAGGGGCGCAAGCCUGAUCCAGCCAUACCGCGUGGGUGAAGAAGGCCUUCGGGUUGUAAAGCCCUUUUGUUGGGAAAGAAAAGCAGCAGGUUAAUACCCCGCUGUUCUGACGGUACCCAAAGAAUAAGCACCGGCUAACUUCGUG